AUUGAACGCUGGCGGCAGGCCUAACACAUGCAAGUCGAACGAGUGGCGGACGGGUGAGUAAUGGCUGGGAAACUGCCUGAUGGAGGGGGAUAACUACGGGAAACGGUAGAUAAUACCGCAUACCAUCAGAUGUGCCUAGAUGGGAUUAGAUUGUUGGUGGGGUAACGGCGUACCAAGGCGACGAUCCCUAGCUGGUCUGAGAGGGUGACCAGCCACACUGGAACUGAGACACGGUCCGGACUCCUACGAGAGGCCGCAGUAGGGAAUCUUGCGCAAUGGGCGCAAGUCUGAUGCAGCCAUGCCGCGUGUAUGAAGAAGGUUUUCGGGUUGUAAAGUACUUUUAGCGGGGAUGCGUUACCCACCGAGAAAGCCCCGGCUAACUCCGUGCCAGCAGCCGCGGUAAUUC
rnacentral:rRNA from 1 species